UGGGUUGGCGGUGGCUUCCUGAUCGGCGCGGCGGAAGCCGUCUACAAGUACGGCAUUAUCCGGUGCCAAGCUCCUUUCGGCUACGCUCUAAGCCUUGUUCUCGGUGGCAGCCUGUUCGCAUCCAAGAUUCGCUCCACGAACGCGCUGACUAUGAUGGACCCGUUCCAGCGCCGAUACGGCCACCUCGUUUGCGUCAUGCUCAUGCUGCCGGCCAUUUGCGCCGAGGUCGCCUGGUCGGCAGCCGUCCUGGCAGCACUUGGUUCAUCGGUGCGCGUUAUUGCGGAGGUGAACGUGCCAGUGUCUAUCAUCUUUUCGGCGAUACUCACUUUCGUGUACAC
rnacentral:lncRNA from 1 species